CUUCUUCCUCUUCCACAUUUCACUCUCUGUCCACCGUUUGAAGAUGAGCUCAAUGGAGUUCAUCAACUUUGAUUCUUCAUCUGUGGGUGCUCAAUUUCCUUCAUGAUCAUCAUGUUGUGUAAAUCUUCAGCUUCCAAGAGGUGUACUCUCCGAUAUGGUUCAUGCCGAGGUUGACAGGGAUUGAGAGCAUUGCUUUUCCAAUUGAAGCCGGAUAGGAGUAGAUUUGCUCCCGUGCUUCUGUGUCUCGAUUUUUCAACUGGUAGCUUGCUUUGGAUUCAGAUAUGGCUCCUUGACUCUCAACUUUUGCUGGUCCCUGUAUCGAUUUUUGUUGGCUGUCAUAGCUUAGGAGUAUUUCCUGUGCAACAUUUUUGCUCCAAAAAUAGAUAAAAUCUCCAUUGUAUAAAGUAUAGUUGUGGAAUCCUGUGGCUUCAAUGUUGUAACUAAAAAUGCUGACUGUUGUUAUUGCUGUAUAUUUUCCUUGUUUUGAUCCUAAUUGAUGGGACCUGAUGUUUAUCAAUAUUAAGAAGUUUUUUACCUAAA